GGUGAACGCUGGCGGUAGGCCUAACACAUGCAAGUCGAACGGCAGCACAGUAAGAGCUUGCUCUUACGGGUGGCGAGUGGCGGACGGGUGAGGAAUACAUCGGAAUCUACUUUUUCGUGGGGGAUAACGUAGGGAAACUUACGCUAAUACCGCAUACGACCUACGGGUGAAAGCAGGGGAUCUUCGGACCUUGCGCGAUUGAAUGAGCCGAUGUCGGAUUAGCUAGUUGGCGGGGUAAAGGCCCACCAAGGCGACGAUCCGUAGCUGGUCUGAGAGGAUGAUCAGCCACACUGGAACUGAGACACGGUCCAGACUCCUACGGGAGGCAGCAGUGGGGAAUAUUGGACAAUGGGCGCAAGCCUGAUCCAGCCAUACCGCGUGGGUGAAGAAGGCCUUCGGGUUGUAAAGCCCUUUUGUUGGGAAAGAAAAGCAGCAGGUUAAUACCCCGCUGUUCUGACGGUGCCCAAAGAAUAAGCACCGGCUAACUUCGUG
rnacentral:rRNA from 1 species